rnacentral:lncRNA from 1 species
CCGUAACCUAAUCCAUAUUCUACUGUUUGAACCAAGCACACGUAAAUAACCUUAUUUCUUCUUUCAGAAAAUUUAAGUAUUACUAAUAUAUAUUGAUUUCUCCGGGAAAAAUCUGGAAAGACAUUUGUGUAUCAGUGGAUCAUUGAUCUGGAUUAGGUUUCGGAUUUUCUAUUAGUGAUUUAACUGGAUUUUCCGGUUGUCGAUUUCUGUUGUGAACAGUGUUAAUUAACUUCGUUUGAUAUCAAGUUUCUGAAAUUCGCUGAAAUUACAUCUGAGAGUUGAGAUUUCACGUGAAAUUUCAGCAUUUUAUUUGCUUUUUCGAGUUUAGAAAAUGGUUGGAGGUGGAAAUAGAAUGGAUGAAGGAUCGUUCACAGUGAGCAACAGCAAUGUUUUUGCUGUGCUGGAGAGAAAGAAGAAGAGGUCUGACAAAGGGAAGGUCUCUGCAAAGAGCAGUAAGAGUGGGUUGAAAGCUGGGGCUGGGAAAUCAAAAGAACCGGAGGAGAAGCCUCAGGUAUUUUGGGCUCCAGCUCCUUUGACUGUGAAGUCGUGGGCUGACGUUGAUGACGAGGAUGAUGAUGAUUACUAUGCCACCAAUGCUCCACCCCAGUCUGUUUGGGGUGUUUCGGGGUCGAGUAAACCUGAAGAGAAUCAGAAACCGGACCCUGUGGAGGUAUAAUGACUAAAAACGAUGAAUUGUUAUAUAGUUCCUGCUAUUUUAAAGAUUGGAUAGUGAUCUUGAAAGUUCAUUGUUGUGGUUAAUUUAGUAGGUUGUUUGUUGAUGAUUGUUAUUUGUAUUUUAGAGUGAUAAACGAUAUUCAGGCUAAUUUGGUGUUCAAAUGGUUUGCAAUUGGGGGAUUUUACUAUUGAUUAUUAGUGUGUGAUUUUGUUAAGAUUGGAUCGUAUCAUCUCUAUGCAUCAUAAGAUAAUCAUUUGCACGAUUCCAUUUCAUUAGAUAAAGAUUCUCAUUUUCGCAUGAUCUGCUUUCUCUGGUGAUUAAUGAAGAAAGUUUUAUUUCCCUCUUCUGUAUUAUAUAUGGAAGGGUCUUAACGGUUCCUAUAGCCAAAAACUUUUGAGCGACCUAUCUACAUUAUGAUCGUUUAUGGCAAAUUGACAAUAUUCGGUCUCAAGAGUGCUUGUAAAGGUUAUGUUUUGAUUUCCUCUUUUUCUUAAAGAGAAAAGUCAUAAUGUUUUGUCAAAAGAAAAAAAAAAUGGUGGUUCUGUUUCACACUGUUUUGAUGUUUCUUUUCAUCUACGUUACUAUGAUUCACCUAAGCGACUAUGAUUCACCUAAGCACCUGACAAUAAGUACUUUGUACUUUAUAUGUUGAUCGGAUCAAAAGUCUCACAUAUUUGAUUUCCUAUUGGUAGAUUUGCUUCAGCAUUUGUUUGCCACAUACUAAUAGUGUAGUUUCUUGAGAAAUUUAAUGGUGAUGAUUGGUUUUUAGCGUGAAUUUUGGUGAUUGCUAGGAUACAGAUGUUUAUUUAUGUUGCAUAAGUCGCAGUCUGAACCUGACAUUCUGUUGCGACAUCCUUGAAAAUUCAUAUCCAUUUCUUUGAUAUAUAUAUAUAUAUAUAUAUAUAUAUAUAUCUAUAUGGAUUCAUGUCUAUUCGGGGCAUUCCUGUAAUCGCUGUCAGCUUUUCAUGCAUUAUUCCCUGAUUUGCGUGAAGUUUCAUGGCUAAGAUCAUGUUAUCGAGCUUUCAAAUGUUGAUUCAAAUGAAGUUUUCCCUCAAGUAGAUCACAGAUAUUUUAUAAUUAAUUUUGAGCAAAAGAGACUCUUGGCAUUCAUAAUUAUAUUGGUUUGGAUUUGUUUUUCAUCAGUAUCAUUCCUAGUGGAUUCUAUCCUUGAUUGAGCUUGACUUGGGCUAGUUUGCUGCAAUUUUCGGAAACACCAAAUGGAGAAUUUAGAUAGAAACAUUCUGUUCAAAUGGAAAAAUCAAAGGUUUGGCCAAGACAAUCAGACUUUUUUCCACCUGUGAAAUUAUUUUUUUGGAAGGUUUCUACCUGUGAAAUUGUGUGUUGGGGUGGGGGGGGGGGGNNNNNNNNNNNNNNNNNNNNNNNNNNNNNNUCAAAGCUGUUUAAGAAUUUAAUGUUUUAUGACUUCCACUCUUUCAAACAAAGUACUUGAGAAUUCUGCCCACCAAUCUCAUCUACUCCCCCCCGCCCCUCGUUCUGCUUGUGCAUACUUGCAGGAAUGGUGUAUGCGAUGUGUCUAUCAGUCUACCUCUAUGUAUGUGUGCUUGUGCACCAAUGAACACUUGGAGCUCUGUUUUUUCUUUUUUCUAUUCUCAUCCUCAUCUUCCUGUAUCUCCUCCAAUAUCUACCCUACAAUUACAACUAAAGGGAUUGCAGAAAAGAAACCAUGAUCUGUGGCAAAAAAAAUUCCCGGCUCUGUUUUCUUCAGGCGUAUCCUAUUUACUGUAGGAUUAUCCCUCUGUCAUGAUGAACAAAGACCUCCACGCAUCUCUGAAUUCAUUUUGCUGGUCUUCUCAUGGAGUUUGUAAUGCCUUUAUCCCCUUUUGAAAGCACUUCAUUCUUGUUAACUAAAAUAAAAUUUCAAUAUAUAGGAUCAUUUGCAAAGAUCCCUUGUGUGGAAGAAAUGGUGUUACAAUUUUCUUGUAGCUAUGAAAUCAUGAAAAUGGGGUUAGGAUAGGUUGCUUGCCUCAAAUAUUUUGUCAUGGUUUGACAUCCAAAUUGCAGGAAAGCGAGAGUGAAGAUGAUAUUCUUGAUGAAGGUGACGACGACAUGGAAGAAGAGCACGAUCAUGAACCAGUGGUGGAAGAACAUCCUGAGCCAGUAGUUAAAAAGUCUGUAGAUGCUUCCCCCGCAAAUAAAGAGGUAGAUAAACAAAUUUCCAAGAAAGAGAGAAGAAAAAAGGAGCUUGCUGAGCUGGAGGCCAUUUUGGCUGAAAUUGGAGUUGCCCCAAAAGAGAAAGCCAUAGAUGAGUCAUCUGGUGAUUAUAUACUCUGUUGUCUCUUGGAAAUAUGUUAAUUUAGAAUUUCAUUAAAUAUUUUUGGAUAAAUCUUUUCUAUCUGUGGUUAACACAUUUAUUUGAAGUUAUUGUUUUCUUUAACUUCCCCUCAUCCCUUCAGCAUUUUAUUCUGGACUAUUUUGUUUGGCAAUUUACUAUUUCUGUUAUACAUGAGAGACUAAUCUGUGCAUUCAUUUUCUUUGCUAGUCUUACCAUCAAAUAGUAUAGAUUGUUUAUCUUGAAAUGGAGCAUCUCAUUUUAUGAAUGUGCAGAUAUUUCGCAAGAGAAGAGAGAGGGACAGAUGAAUGGAGAUAUAGAAAACAAGGAUAAUGUCCAUGCAGAAUCCAAGAGUUCAAAGAAGAAGAAAAAGAAGGAUAAAGCUUCAAAAGAGGUGAAGGAAAGCCAGGAUCAGUCCAGCAGCUCAGAUGUUCUUAACGGACAGGAGGAAACCACUGAAACCGAACAAGUGAAACAUGAUGCUUCUGCCGUCAAUGUGAAGGAUCGACUAAAGAAGGCCGCUUCUGCUAAGAAGAAGAAAUCUAAUAAGGAGAUGGAUGCUGGUGCCAAAGCUGCUGCUGUGGAGGCUGCUGCAAGGAGUGCAAAACUUGCCGCUGCUAAGAAGAAAGAGAAGAACCAUUACAAUCAGCAGCCUUUGCGGUAAAGAGCACAGCAUUGGAGUAACAUAUAAAUCGAGAUGGUUAUUUAAUUGUUCAUUUACCCAUGUGCAAUAAACUUUGAUCUCAGCGUCUUUGUCUUGAUAACAUGUUCCCAGACGGUUUUGCUCAGUGAAUAUUUGUUUUUAACUUGGUACUUCAACAGACUUCAUAUAUUAGUUUGUAUGAAAUAGUACUCUUUUGCAAUGAUCAUUUAUCAUUUGAAUUGAGC